AAACCGUUGAAAGGGAAGCGAAUGGAGUUAGCAAUUCGCCCUGCCAGAUUCAGUUGUUCGCACUUCGCGACGUGCACGCUCUCGAUCCGCAUGGACGAGACGUGCACGGACGCGACGUGUGGACGGCGCACUUCUGGCGGGCGAGCGUCAGCGUCGCUCGUCGACGGGCGACAAGGUCGCGAGGAAGGUAGACGUGCCUUCGGGCGCGUUGUUAAGACUCGCGUUCGCAURGCUCGACGACGACCGUGGCUCCUUCAUGCGGRGGCGACGCGUGCCUGGCUGGCGACUCGUGCGAUCGGUCCGGCAUGUCGACCGUGGCGGACGGCACGCCUGUGCGCUCGAACUGCUGCCGGUCGCUCGCACGAUGUUCGCACACUACGCGUCCAAGACGCUGACGACCAUACGGCUCCAUCCGACCCGUCUUGAAACACGGACCAAGGAGUCUAACAUGUGCGCGAGUCUCCGGGUGAUCGAAACCYGUGGGCGCAAUGAAAGUAAAGGCCGUCCCAGACGGCUGAGGUGAGAAGCGYGCCUCUUCUCGACGCGCGCCGCAUCAUCGACCGACCUAUUCUGCUCUCAGAGAGGUUUGAGUAAGAGCGUAUCUGUUGGGACCCGAAA
rnacentral:rRNA from 1 species